GGAUAUUUAUUAGGCAUUUUUUCAUAUGCCUGCCGGGAUUACCUCUCCUCCCCUAGCUUCACAUGGAAAUAUUGCCAAGUGAUUGACCAAAGCCAGCAAUAUUUCAAACGCUAGCUAGUCUCACAACCUGGUGCAGUAUCACAAUCAAACAUGAUGGUUCUAAAACUCUCAUGAUUGUGAUUUCUUUCUUUACAUCCAAUUGUGACGAGCACAAAUUGCAG
rnacentral:misc_RNA from 1 species